AAUUAUUAUUAUUAAUUUUUAAUUAGAAGUGAAAUGUUAAUCGUUUUUGAAUAUAUCUAGUUUUUUUAGAAUUGAAUUAAAUUCAGCUUUAAAAUUUUAAAUAUUUUAUGUAAAUUAAAUUUUAUAAAUUAAUUAUUUUAGAGUAAAUAUAUUCGGGAUAAAUUGAUUAUAUAUUUUAUAAAUUAAUUAUUAAUUUAUUUUUAAUAGUAAUUAUAAAAUUAGAUUUCUUUUUUAAAAAUGUUUUAAUUUAUAUUUGUUUAUUUAAAUUAAUUUAAAAUUUAAUUUUUAGUUUUAAUAGUUUAUAAAAAUUUAUUAAUAAAUGAAAUUUUAUUAAAAAUAAUGAUUAUAUUAGUAAAUAAUAAAUUAUUGUAUAAAUAAUUUUAUAAUUUAAAUAUUUAAAUUUAAGGAAUUAGGCAAAAAUUUUAAUUUUUAAAUUUAUAUUUACCUGUUUAUCAAAAACAUGUCUUAUUGAUUAAAAUAAUAAGUUUAUUCUGCCCAUUGAAAUUAAUUUUAAAAGGCUGCAGUAUAUUAACUGUACAAAGGUAGCAAAAUCAAUAGUUUUUUAAUUGAAAACUUGAAUGAAAGAAUUAAUAAAAUAUAUUCUGUCUCAGAUUUAAUUUAUAAAAUUUAAAUAAAAAGUUAAAAUGCUUUUAUUAAUUUAUUAGACGAUAAGACCCUAAGAAUUUAAUAAAAUUAAUUUAUUAUUUAAUUUUGUGAAUAUAUAAAAAAUUAAAUUAAUUUUUUUUUAUUGGGAGGGUAAUUAAAUUUAUUAACUUUAAUUAUUAAUUAA
rnacentral:rRNA from 1 species